rnacentral:rRNA from 1 species
CACGUAGGCGGACUGGAAAGUUGGAGGUGAAAUCCCAGGGCUCAACCUUGGAACUGCCUUCAAAACUAUCAGUCUGGAGUUCGAGAGAGGUGAGUGGAAUUCCGAGUGUAGAGGUGAAAUUCGUAGAUAUUCGGAGGAACACCAGUGGCGAAGGCGGCUCACUGGGCCAUUACUGACGCUGAGGCACGAAAGCGUGGGGAAGCAAACA